rnacentral:pre_miRNA from 1 species
AGGAGGAACAACCACUGUGGUGGUGGCCAGCUCUGGAGCCCUGGAUUCAGCUCCCACAUUAACUACGUAGCUCUCCAUCUGCAGGGGUUUGGAUGCUCCGUGGGCGG